rnacentral:misc_RNA from 1 species
GGCAUUAUAGCCGAGAGUGCAGCCGCUUUUGUGUACGACUAUCACGCUCGUCUCCGCACUAGCUACAAGCAAGUCUGUUCUACACCAGCUCGAUCGGUCGAUAUCGUGUCUCGAGACGCAGAAUACUCGACAGGAGGCCUCCAAAGCAGCCAUGAGUUACACUCCUGUGAACCAACAGCCCCUUGCAAGCCCACCACUUGGCGAUAGAUCGGUUCGCAUGGGUUGCCCGUACUGCGGCAAGCUGGUUGUCUCUCAGACAACCUACCAAAGAGGAAUGCUCACUUACGUCGCCUCAUUGGUCGUCGGUUCACUCGGAGGCUCGUUAUGCUGUCUCUGCUUGAUUCCGUGCUGCAGUGAUGACUUCAAGGACGUAGAGCAUCGUUGUCCCGCAUGUGACGGCUACUUCGGAACAUUCAAACGCUGAGGAGUACAGUUUGCAAGGAGGCGACUAACU